AUUGAACGCUGGCGGCAUGCUUUACACAUGCAAGUCGAACGGCAGCGCGGGCUUCGGCCUGGCGGCGAGUGGCGAACGGGUGAGUAAUGCAUCGGAACGUGCCCAGUAGUGGGGGAUAGCCCGGCGAAAGCCGGAUUAAUACCGCAUACGACCUGAGGGUGAAAGCGGGGGACCGAAAGGCCUCGCGCUAUUGGAGCGGCCGAUGUCGGAUUAGCUAGUUGGUGGGGUAAAGGCUUACCAAGGCGACGAUCCGUAGCUGGUCUGAGAGGACGACCAGCCACACUGGGACUGAGACACGGCCCAGACUCCUACGGGAGGCAGCAGUGGGGAAUUUUGGACAAUGGGGGCAACCCUGAUCCAGCCACGCCGCGUGCGGGAAGAAGGCCUUCGGGUUGUAAACCGCUUUUGUUCGGGAAGAAAUCCUCUGGGCUAAUACACCGGGGGGAUGACGGUACCGGAAGAAUAAGCACCGGCUAACUACGUG
rnacentral:rRNA from 1 species